rnacentral:rRNA from 1 species
AUGGUGGUUCUUGCCAAGGGCGAGCUGGAGCAGAUCGCGCUCCCGGCCGUGCACAAGACGGCGCCGCCGCUGGCCGACGUGCCGGAGGUCGACCUUGCCGUGGCGGGUCGCGGCUCUGAGGGACGGGCGGCCGCCGCGCGCGCUGUGGCGGCGGCGUGCGAGGAGCACGGGUUCUUCAAGGUGACGGGCCACGGCGUGCCGGCAGAGCUCCUGGCGCGCGUCGAGAACGCCGCUGCCGCCUUCUUCGCGCUCUCGCAGCGGGACAAGGAGGCGGCGAUGUCGGCCGCGACGCCGGGCAGUCCGUUCGGCUACGCAAGCAAGCGGAUAGGCAACAACGGCGACCUCGGGUGGGUCGAGUAUCUCCUGCUCGGUGUCACCGCGGCGACCGGCGGGCCAUUGUCCGUGCCCGAAGGGGUGGUGCCGUCGGCGUCGCUCUGCUCUUUCCGCGACCUUCUGAACGAGUACACGGAGGUCGUGAGGAGGAUGACCUGCCAGGUGCUAGAGCUGAUGGCGGAGGGCCUGGGCAUGGACGACAGGGACGCGUUCACGAGGCUGGUCCUGCACAAGGAAAGCGACUCGAUGCUGCGGGUGAACCACUACCCGCCGCGCCCCGAGCUGAAGCUCCUGCAGCAGCACGGCGGUGGCGGCAGGGUCACCGGGUUCGGCGAGCACACCGACCCCCAGAUCAUCUCCGUGCUCCGCUCCAACGCCACCUCCGGCCUCGAGAUCGCGCUGCGCGACGGCGCCUGGGUCUCUGUGCCGCCGGACCACACUUCCUUCUUCGUCAACGUUGGCGACGCCUUGCAGGUACUGACGAACGGGAGGUUCCGGAGCGUGAGGCACCGGGUGAUGGUGAACAGCGCCCGGCCGCGGGUGUCGGUGAUCUUCUUCGGCGGCCCGCCGCCGCGGGAGACGCUGGCGCCGCUGCCGCAGCUCGUCGGGGAAGGCGGGCGCAGCCGGUACAGGGAGUUCACAUGGCGGGAGUACAAGGCCUCGGCGUACCGGACCAAGCUGGCGGCGAACAGGCUCUGCCACUUCGAGACCACCAGCUAG